CCUACGGGAGGCAGCAGUGGGGAAUAUUGCACAAUGGGGGAAACCCUGAUGCAGCGACGCCGCGUGAGUGAAGAAGUAUUUCGGUACGUAAAGCUCUAUCAGCAGGGAAGAAAAUGACGGUACCUGACUAAGAAGCCCCGGCUAACUACGUGCCAGCAGCCUCGGUAAUACGUAGGGGGCAGGCUUUAUCCGGAUUCACAGGGCGUAAAGGGAGUGUAGGCGGGUUAGCAAGUUAUAGGUGAAAUCCCGCGGCUAAACGGCGGAACUGCAACUAAAACUGGUGUGCUGGAGUGCAGGAGAGGUGGGUGGAAUGCCUGGUGUAGCGGUGGAAUGCGUAGAUAUUAGGAGGAACACCAGAGGCGAAGGCGUCUCACUGGACUGUAACUGACGCUGAGGCUCGAAAGCGUGGGGAGCAAACAGGAUUAGAUACCCCAGUAGUC
rnacentral:rRNA from 1 species